UACGUAGGGGGCGAGCGUUAUCCGGAUUUAUUGGGCGUAAAGGGUGUGUAGGCGGUUUGUUAAGUCUAAAAUCAAAGCCCGAGGCUUAACCUCGGUUCGUUUUAGAAACUGGCAAACUAGAGUACAGUAGAGGCAAGUGGAAUUUCUAGUGUAGCGGUUAAAUGCGUAGAUAUUAGAAGGAACACCAGUGGCGAAGGCGGCUUGCUGGGCUGUAACUGACGCUGAGACACGAAAGCAUGGGGAGCAAAUAG
rnacentral:rRNA from 1 species